rnacentral:lncRNA from 1 species
CUGCUGAAAGAUGAAACUAUUUUCAUUGAUUAUGUGAAGUCAGAAGUGAAUUUGGUUGAUCCUCUGACUAAAUCUUUAGAGAGAAAAUUAAUAGAUGAAACAUCAAGGGGAAUGAGACUUGAGCCAAUUUGAAAUUAAUAGUGAUGGAAACUUAAUAUUUGUGAUUGGAGAUCCCAUGAAAAAGGUUCAUAUGGGUAAUAACAAGUCACUUGUUAGUUCUGCUAUCUCUAUUUAUCGCUGUCCCUUCCUAUUGUGUGAGAAGUGUUAGACUGCAUUAAUGAGAGUAUGAGAUAAAACAUCUUAAUGAUACUCAUAUGUCUUAUUGGUGAUGUAUAAACUGCAGUAUACACUUGAUGAUAUCACAUAUAUAAGCGUGAAGUGGAACUGUUUCUAUGAAAUUGUGGCAUAAUCUAGAGAGGCAUGAAAGGAAUCCUUAUUUCAACACUUACAAUCCUAGAUGGCAGAAUCAUCCUAAUUUCAAUUGGUAUAAUUAGCAUAAUCAAGUGCCAGCUCCUCAGUAGAAUAACAUGCCAGUGCCUGGAUUUCAGCAGAAGAACUCUAACCAAUCAUAUCCUCAAUAGUCUAAUUCAUAACAGAAAUCAAAUCUAGAGUCAUUAAUGGAAAACUUCUUUAACGGGUGUUGAAUUCGUCAAUUAAAAUUUACUUCCCUUUCUUUGAUUUAAUAAGAACUUGUAGAUAGGAUAAGUAAGUAUUAAUUCCAUAGAAACCUUAACUUUAUUUAAUUUAGAUGACUAGUUGAAAUAGAAGAGUAAUUUAAUAUAAAAAGUGAGAAAAAGAGAGUUUUUGAUGAAAUUAGUUUUUUAUCUUGGGUAAGCCAAAAAUACUUAAAAAGAAAAAUAAACAAUAUAAUUAGAUUUGAUAAAUAAAUAAAUAAUUAAAAAUUUAGCUAAAAAUAAUUAACUUGGGGUAUUUUACAGUUGAAUUCAUUUUAUUAUCUAUUAUUUGGUUAUAAUGAUCAAACACGCGAAUUUCAUCAAUUUUUCCUUACAAUUAAAUUAAUUCGUUUCGCGUUUAAAUUAAUUUCUAGUUAACUAAAAACUCAACACGCGUGUAGAUUUAAUUAGUUAAUUGCAUUAAAAGAGAAGAACCUAAACUUGAUCAAUAAAAACACGUGAAUUAUUUAAAUCAAAUCUACUCAUUCCUUAAUAUAAGUGAAUAUACUAAUUGUCACUUGUUAUUAAUUCAAUUAAAUAAUUAUAAAUUUAAUUAGAUUAAUUAGUAAUAUGUUAUCUUACUAAGAGAUUCAAUAAGUCUCUUGAAUUCUUAAGAGGACAAUAAUAGAUGUGGUGUUUUCUGAAAUAAAAAAUUAAUAAAAAAUAAAAAUAAAAUGAAGAGAAUUUAAACACAUAAUCUCACAACUUAAAUAAAACUUCAAUUUGAAUUAACUUUCAACCGAAAAAAAUUAUUUAAUUUUUAAAAUGCAUAAUAAAAUUACAAAAGAAAAAAAAAGAAUUAUUUAGUUUUUACGAAAGAUUGAUACAAGAAUUCUCGAUUAUUGCUGUUGACUUAUAAUUAUAAUUAAAAUAUAUAAAACAAUAAUUUACUGCUAUUAUUUUAAAUAUGAUUUAGCAGCAGUGAAUUUUAUCCGAUAUUAAAUUAUUAGCACAUGCUCUAUUUUUUAUAUUUAUUCAUUUAUUUAAGAGCAUACCUUAUCUGAUGAUCAGGAUGCCACUCCUUUACAAGACUUAUACAUUAUCGUGCAUGCUUAAAUUAGUUGAGAUUUUGUUAGGUAAUUAAUUUGCAAGAAAGAGCCCUAAAUAUUAUAAUUUUUAAUUAAUUAGCUAAUUAGUUUAAUUUCAGAAAAGGGAAAGUUGGUAGCAAGUAGCAAUUAAUAAAGUUUCUUCACAAAUGAUAAUUCAUGAGACAGAAAAAUAUAUUAAUUAUAGGGGAAUCAACUGUUGAACCUUAUGGCUUUAAAAUAAUUAAGCAGCCAAUGGAAUCUUAUCACACGUGUGGUUUUAAUAGAGAUCUUUGUUAGGUAAUAUUCGUUUAAGCAUGUCACUAAACCCUUCUACAGCUCUACUAGUAUAUAAUUUCUUUUAUUAAUUUUAAUUCAAGUUAAAAUUAAAAUUCUAUAAUUUUAAAAUAAAUUUUAUGCACUUAUUUAUUUAUAAAAAAUAACUUAUAUUCAAAAUUUUAUAAUUUAUAUUUAAAAAUAUUUUACAUGCAUAAAAAAUAUUUAUAAAAAUUUUAAUAAAGAUUUCAACACGUAUAAAUAAUUUAUUUUUUUUAAAAAUAAAUAAUUUUCUUUAAGAUGCUUUUUUUUCAAUUAAAAAAUAUUUUUUAUUAAUUAAAUUUUUUAAAUGUCCUAAAUAUAAAAAAAUACAAAAAAUAUUUUUUUUAAAAAAAAUUUUCCAUAGUCUUAAUCAAUAAAUAAUAAUUACUCCAAGAAUUAUAUUUCUUCUCUUCUAUAAUUGUUGUUUAAUUUAUUUUUUUAUACAUAUUAAAAAAUACGAUUUUUAUUAUUAAUUUUCUAAUUAUAUCAAUUUUAAAUAUAUUAAAUUUUAUUAAAUAUUAAAAAAUAUUUUUAGAAAUUUUUUAAAAUUAAAAUAAAAUUAAAAUAAAUAAUUUAUAUGUUAAUAUAGUCUAAAAAAUAAAAUUGAAUAAUAAUUUUGAAAUAAAUAAAAAUAAAAAUAAUAAAUUAUGAGACAACUCCAAAUGAGUAUCAAAUAUCAAUUGGUCAUUCUCAUUUCUACCUUGAAGGAUCAAAAUAAAAAGAAAACAAAACAAAAAAAGAGUUAUAGUAAUUAAUUAAGGGUUUUAGUCUAUUAAUUUUGUGUUUGAAUUUCAGAUGAAAUCGAUCGUCUCAAAGAUCUCUAGAAAUUAAAAAAAAAAAAAUUAAAAUAAAAAGGGGGGAUAAUUAAGGCUGCUACUUUCUGCUUAUAAUGGUCAAAAUGCAUAUGAUAGCUUCGUUUCUCUUAAGCUUUUUGUUCAUCAAGUUUCCAUUCUAGAAGGGAAAACCAGAUAUGGCUGUUCGUUGAUGAGAGAGAGAGAGGGAGAGAAGCAUAGUUAAUGAUUCAAUAUUUAUGUAAACUUCCCUUCAUGUUUGAUUCAAAUAUGCACAAAAACGAAAACAAAAGAACUUAACGUACAGAUCCUCAAAAUGCAAAUUUAACAGAGAGAGAAAGGGAAAGGGAAAAAGGAAAAAGAACUCACACUUCCACAAAUCUGAUAUCGCCUCUCAUCACAUCAUCUUCUUCUUUAUUUCUGAGAGAGUCGCUUGGAGAGCUGUUCUUGAUUUGCUGCUUUCAUCCAUCAAUCAUCCAAGCUUUUCGUGAAUCAAGAAAUGAGAUGAGAUGAGUUCCAAGGAGGAAGAUCGGUCGAAGAUUCUUGUUUGAUUCAAACAGUAUUAUCGACGGCGAUAUUGGGUUCAUGAGAAGGAGAUAAAGCCAAUAAAACGAGAACACUCAUGAUAAAAACAGGAACAAACAAGAACAACAACGGAGGCGGCGACAAGGGUGGCAAAACCACCGGCAGUAGCAGAAGAGAAAGAGCAAGCAGAACCAUAAUAACUACCGACCUCAACAUCAAAUUUUAUACAUAGAAAUCUCCGAAAACGUGCACCCUUGAAAACCCUCAAGUUCUUGAUGAUCAUGAUCAGCAGCACAGAUCAACAAAAAACUUGGAGAUGAUAAGGACUAUUCAUGGGAGUUCUCUUUGGUUUUUCUUGGUGUGGUGUUGGAAAAUGUGGGAUUGAAAUGGUGGGGGAGGUGUCUGCGUUUGAAAAGCGGAGGAAAAAUUGAAAGAGACUUUGUGGCUUUGAGGAAUUAAAAAUUGGGUCCCAGAGAGGAACCUUCAAUGUUCUGUCUUCAUUCAGCUAAUCUCAU